UACAGAGGGUGCGAGCGUUAAUCGGAAUUACUGGGCGUAAAGCGUGCGUAGACGGUUAUUUAAGUCGGGUGUGAAAGCCCCGGGCUCAACCUGGGAAUUGCAUUCGAGACUGAAUAGCUAGGGUACGGUAGAGGGAAGUGGAAUUUCCGGUGUAGCGGUGAAAUGCGUAGAUAUCGGAAGGAACAUCAGUGGCGAAAGCGACUUCCUGGACCAGCACCGACGUUCAGGCACGAAAGCGUGGGGAGCAAACAGG
rnacentral:rRNA from 1 species